CGACUGCUAAGACUGGAUAGGAGACAAGAAGGCAUCUUCUUGUUUUUAAAAGACCUAGCAAUAGGUAUGCUUAGGGAGGAGCUUGCGUCACAUUAGUUAGUUGGUGGGGUAAAGGCCUACCAAGACUAUGAUGUGUAGCCGGACUGAGAGGUUGAACGGCCACAUUGGGACUGAGACACGGCCCAAACUCCUACGGGAGGCAGCAGUAGGGAAUUUUCGGCAAUGGAGGAAACUCUGACCGAGCAACGCCGCGUGAAUGAUGAAGUAUUUCGGUACGUAAAGUUCUUUUAUUAGGGAAGAAUAAAUGAUGGAAAAAUCAUUCUGACGGUACCUAAUGAAUAAGCCCCGGCUAACUAUGUGCCAGCAGCCGCGGUAAUACAUAGGGGGCAAGCGUUAUCCGGAAUUAUUGGGCGUAAAGGGUGCGUAGGCGGUUAAAUAAGUUUAUGGUCUAAGUGCAAUGCUCAACAUUGUGAUGCUAUAAAAACUGUUUAGCUAGAGUAAGAUAGAGGCAAGUGGAAUUCCAUGUGUAGUGGUAAAAUGCGUAAAUAUAUGGAGGAACACCAGUAGCGAAGGCGGCUUGCUGGGUCUUUACUGACGCUGAGGCACGAAAGCGUGGGGAGCAAACAGGAUUAGAUACCCUGGUAGUCCACGCCGUAAACGAUGAGUACUAAACGUUGGGUAAAACCAGUGUUGAAGUUAACACAUUAAGUACUCCGCCUGAGUAGUACGUACGCAAGUAUGAAACUUAAAGGAAUUGACGGGACUCCGCACAAGCGGUGGAUCAUGUUGUUUAAUUCGAAGGUACCCGAAAAACCUCACCAGGUCUUGACAUGCUUCUGCAAAACUGUAGAAACACAGUGGAGGUUAUCAGUUGCACAGGUGGUGCAUGGUUGUCGUCAGCUCGUGUCGUGAGAUGUUGGGUUAAGUCCCGCAACGAGCGCAACCCUUAUUGUUAGUUACCAGCACGUAAUGGUGGGGACUUUAGCAAGACUGCCAGUGAUAAAUUGGAGGAAGGUGGGGACUACGUCAAAUCAUCAUGCCCCUUAUGACCUGGGCUACAAACGUGAUACAAUGGCUGUUACAAAGGGUAGCUGAAACGCAAGUUUUUGGCGAAUCUCAAAAAAACAGUCUCAGUUCGGAUUGAAGUCUGCAACUCGACUUCAUGAAGUUGGAAUCGCUAGUAAUCGUGAAUCAGCAUGUCGCGGUGAAUACGUUCUCGGGGUUUGUACACACCGCCCG
rnacentral:rRNA from 1 species